GAUGAACGCUGGCGGCGCGCCUAACACAUGCAAGUCGAACGGUUAAAGCACCUUCGGGUGUGUAUAAAGUGGCGAACGGCUGAGUAACACGUGGGCAACCUGCCUCUUGCUCUGGGAUAGCCUCGGGAAACCGAGGAUAAUACCGGAUACUCCGUACCUUUCGCAUGGAGGGGACGGGAAAGCGUAUACGGCAAGAGAUGGGCCUGCGGCCUGUUAGCUUGUUGGUGGGGUAACGGCCUACCAAGGCAAUGAUGGGUAGCUGGGUUGAGAGACCGACCAGCCAGAUUGGGACUGAGACACGGCCCAGACUCCUACGGGAGGCAGCAGUGGGGAAUCUUGCACAAUGGGCGAAAGCCUGAUGCAGCGACGCCGCGUGCGGGAUGAAGGCCCUAUGGGUUGUAAACCGCUUUCAGCAGGGAAGAGGCCGCAAGGUGACGGUACCUGCAGAAGAAGCUCCGGCUAACUACGUG
rnacentral:rRNA from 1 species